rnacentral:tRNA from 1 species
ACUUAAAUAGCUUAUUUAGAGCAUAAUAUUGAAGAUAUUAAGGAAAUAGAAUUAUUUUUAAGUA